rnacentral:tRNA from 2 species
CGCGGGGUGGAGCAGCUCGGUAGCUCGUCGGGCUCAUAACCCGAAGGUCGUAGGUUCAAAUCCUACCCCCGCAACCA